ACGUACGCUGGCGGCACGCCUAACACAUGCAAGUCGAACGAAGUAGCAAUACUUAGUGGCAGACGGGUGAGUAACAUGUGGGUAUCUACCCUUUGGCCUGGAAUAACACGAGGAAACUUGUGCUAAUACCGGAUAAGUCUUUACGGAGAAAGCUUUAUGCACCAUUGGAUGAGCCCGCACUUGAUUAGUUUGUUGGUAGGGUAAUGGCCUACCAAGACUAUGAUCAAUAGCUGAUUUGAGAGGAUGAUCAGCCACAUUGGGACUGAGACACGGCCCAAACUCCUACGGGAGGCAGCAGUGGGGAAUCUUGCACAAUGGAGGAAACUCUGAUGCAGCGAUGCCGCGUGAGUGAAGAAGGCCUUUGGGUUGUAAAGCUCUUUCGUCGGGGAAGAAAAUGACUGUACCCGAAUAAGAAGGUCCGGCUAACUUCGUGCCAGCAGCCGCGGUAAUACGAAGGGACCUAGCGUAGUUCGGAAUUACUGGGCUUAAAGAGUUCGUAGGUGGUUGAAAAAGUUGGUGGUGAAAUCCCAGAGCUUAACUCUGGAACUGCCAUCAAAACUUUUCAGCUAGAGUAUGAUAGAGGAAAGCAGAAUUUCUAGUGUAGAGGUGAAAUUCGUAGAUAUUAGAAAGAAUACCAAUUGCGAAGGCAGCUUUCUGGAUCAUUACUGACACUGA
rnacentral:rRNA from 1 species